rnacentral:rRNA from 1 species
UACGUAGGGUGCAAGCGUUGUCCGGAAUUAUUGGGCGUAAAGAGCUCGUAGGCGGUUUGUCGCGUCUGCUGUGAAAAUCCAGGGCUUAACCCUGGACCUGCAGUGGGUACGGGCAGACUAGAGUGUGGUAGGGGAGAUCGGAAUUCCUGGUGUAGCGGUGAAAUGCGCAGAUAUCAGGAGGAACACCGGUGGCGAAGGCGGAUCUCUGGGCCAUUACUGACGCUGGAGGAGCGAAAGCGUGGGGAGCGAACAGG